rnacentral:rRNA from 1 species
GACGAACGCUGGCGGCGUGCUUAACACAUGCAAGUCGAACGGAAAGGCCCUGCUUUUGUGGGGUGCUCGAGUGGCGAACGGGUGAGUAACACGUGAGUAACCUGCCCUUGACUUUGGGAUAACUUCAGGAAACUGGGGCUAAUACCGGAUAGGAGCUCCUGCUGCAUGGUGGGGGUUGGAAAGUUUCGGCGGUUGGGGAUGGACUCGCGGCUUAUCAGCUUGUUGGUGGGGUAGUGGCUUACCAAGGCUUUGACGGGUAGCCGGCCUGAGAGGGUGACCGGCGACAUGGGGAGUGAGAGACGGCACAGUGUCCUACGGGAGGCAGCGGUGAGGAGUGUUGCACAAUGGGCGGAAGCCUGAUGCAGCAACGCCGGGGGCGGGGUGACGGCCUUCGGGUUGUAAACCGCUUUCGCCUGUGACGAAGCGUGAGUGACGGUAAUGGGUAAAAAAGCGCCGGCUAACUACGUG